GAUGAACGCUGGCGGCGUGCCUAAUACAUGCAAGUCGAGCGAACAGACGAGGAGCUUGCUCCUCUGACGUUAGCGGCGGACGGGUGAGUAACACGUGGAUAACCUACCUAUAAGACUGGGAUAACUUCGGGAAACCGGAGCUAAUACCGGAUAAUAUAUUGAACCGCAUGGUUCAAUAGUGAAAGACGGUGUUGCUGUCACUUAUAGAUGGAUCCGCGCCGCAUUAGCUAGUUGGUCAGGUAACGGCUUACCAAGGCGACGAUGCGUAGCCGACCUGAGAGGGUGAUCGGCCACACUGGAACUGAGACACGGUCAAGACUCCUACGGGAGGCAGCAGUAGGGAAUCUUACGCAAUGGGCGAAAGCCUGACGGAGCAACGCCGCGUGAGUGAUGAAGGUCUUCGGAUCGUAAAACUCUGUUAUUAGGGAAGAACAAAUGUGUAAGUAACUAUGCACGUCUUGACGGUACCUAAUCAGAAAGCCACGGCUAACUACGUG
rnacentral:rRNA from 1 species